UACGUAGGGUGCAGGCGUUAAUCGGAAUUACUGGGCGUAAAGCGUGCGCAGGCGGUCUUUUAAGUCAGAUGUGAAAUCCCCGGGCUUAACCUGGGAACUGCGUUUGAAACUGGAAGGCUUGAGUGUGGCAGAGGGGGGUGGAAUUCCACGUGUAGCAGUGAAAUGCGUAGAUAUGUGGAGGAACACCGAUGGCGAAGGCAGCCCCCUGGGCUAACACUGACGCUCAUGCACGAAAGCGUGGGGAGCAAACGGG
rnacentral:rRNA from 1 species